UACGGGGGGGGCAAGCGUUGUUCGGAAUUACUGGGCGUAAAGGGCGCGUAGGCGGUCUUCUAAGUCUUGUGUGAAAUCCCUCGGCUCAACUGAGGAACUGCACGGGAUACUGGAUGACUUGAGUUCGGGAGAGGGAAGCGGAAUUCCGGGUGUAGCGGUGAAAUGCGUAGAUAUCCGGAGGAACACCGGUGGCGAAGGCGGCUUCCUGGACCGAUUACUGACGCUGAGGCGCGAAAGCUAGGGGAGCAAACGGG
rnacentral:rRNA from 1 species